UGGGCGCGGAUGUGUGGAUGGAGAGCUGUUGAGAUACCAGUGAUCAUUGCCAAAGCCGUGUUGCCUGUGGACAGGGUGAUGUUUGACUUCCUUGUACAGCUGCAGUUUGAAUGGUGAAGGCGCUCCCACAACGUGGUUAGAUCCUGCAAGUUUCCCCAAUGAGCAUAGUCCAUCGAAAUGAUGUGGCUAACUUUGGCCAACUCAUUUCUUUCCGAGCCUCUAUAGCCUGAAGAGUGACCAGAAGCAAUUACUCCACAAAUGUGGGAACAUUACUGACGAG